AGCGAACGCUAGCGGCAGGCCUAACACAUGCAAAUCGGACGAACCCUUCGGGGUUAGUGGCGGACGGGUGAGUAACACGUGGGAACGUGCCUUUAGGUUCGGAAUAACUCAGGGAAACUUGUGCUAAUACCGAAUGUGCCCUUCGGGGGAAAGAUUUAUCGCCUUUAGAGCGGCCCGCGUCUGAUUAGCUAGUUGGUGAGGUAAUGGCUCACCAAGGCUACGAUCAGUAGCUGGUCUGAGAGGAUGACCAGCCACAUUGGGACUGAGACACGGCCCAAACUCCUACGGGAGGCAGCAGUGGGGAAUCUUGCGCAAUGGGCGAAAGCCUGACGCAGCCAUGCCGCGUGGAUGAUGAAGGUCUUAGGAUUGUAAAAUCCUUUCACCGGUGAAGAUAAUGACUGUAGCCGGAGAAGAAGCCCCGGCUAACUUCGUGCCAGCCGCCGCCGUAACAC
rnacentral:rRNA from 1 species